UGGGGAAUCUUAGACAAUGGGGGAAACCCUGAUCUAGCCAUGCCGCGUGAGUGACGAAGGCCCUAGGGUCGUAAAGCUCUUUCGCCAGGGAUGAUAAUGACAGUACCUGGUAAAGAAGCCCCGGCUAACUUCGUGCCAGCAGCCGCGGUAAUACGAAGGGGGCUAGCGUUGUUCGGAAUUACUGGGCGUAAAGCGCGCGUAGGCGGGUUUUUAAGCCAGAUGUGAAAUCCCAGGGCUCAACCCUGGAACUGCAUUUGGAACUGGAAACCUAGAGACCAGGAGAGGUGAGCGGAAUACCGAGUGUAGAGGUGAAAUUCGUAGAUAUUCGGUGGAACACCAGUGGCGAAGGCGGCUCACUGGACUGGUACUGACGCUGAGGUGCGAAAGCGUGGGGAGCAAACAGGAUUAGAUA
rnacentral:rRNA from 1 species